AAUCACAAAAAGGACACCUCCCAGAAUGUCCGUUAACUUUCUAGGAAAAAGUAAUGGAGCGGCGUGCCCAAGAAGUACUCCUAAUAAUGUCAUGAUGAAUAGAGCUGAGUAUGACCCAGCAAAAACAGUUAAUCGAGAGUUUUCAAAGGCCAAAAGAGCAGCUACGAUGAAAGUCUUGUCUCCUAUUUCACAACCAAAAAUCAUAGAUAUAGAGAAGAUCAAACUCCUAAGAAAGUCACGGUUUGUUGGGUGCACUUCCUCUGGAUGUUUGAUAGCUGACACGUCUGCCAUACCUUCG